GACCUUGCCCAUUCUGCUUACUGCUGCAGCCGCCUGAAGGGCCUCAGGGGGCAGACGUUCCAGAGCAACUGCGCCGCCGGGUGUCCAUGGGGACGGCGUCGCCAGAGCUGCGCGGAAGACCCCACACGUGUGACCCUGAAGUGCCGAUGCACACGUGUGCUGAGGCGGGUCAGAUCUGGAGGGAGCUGCCCGGGACCCGCAGGGACCCGCCGGGGCUGGGUGCUGCUCCCACAGACCCACUUCUGGCAGGAAACGCGAGCCGGGAGUGGCACUGAGCAGGGAGUGCCUUUUGUAAACACACUUUCUAGUCUAAGACCCCGAUUACCUCCAGACUACAGCAGUACCUUUUCCUUCCUGUCUCUCUGUAAGAGGCCGGCGCGGGAAGACUCGGAGCCCAGGACAAUCCAAGAGCAACUUCCCCUGAGGGCUCGGGGCUCAGGACGACAUGGCCUCUGUGUGGCCUCUGCACAAAGGCGGGGUCCUUCGAGGGACCCACAGAAGCUGACACCACAUGGAAGCCAGGCCUGCUCCCUGGCCUCACUCGUCUUCCCUAAGUCACUCGUCACCCCGUUGGCCUGGCUGACAGCCCACGCCCUCUCUCUGAAGCGGUAGUCAGGUGUCAACCAUCUGUCCCUUCUUCCAGCCUCACAGAAACUGAGUCACGUAUCGUUCACGUGACGCCUAUGUACCUGCAUGUUGAUAAUUAUUAAUAGUUAUUAACGUGGCUAUUCUCCAAUUAUUUUAUGGACUUGAAAAAUCUGAACAUCCAAGCGUGGGGAGAAAGCCCCUUCCCCCGCUCUCGUGCAGACGCUGCUGCAGCGACAGUCAGCUGGCCGGACGCAGCCUUGCACACGCAUCUAAGAGGCGCGUCUGGCCGGCCCGUUCUCUUGAAAUCUUUAUUGCUGAGAAAUACUGCAAAUAGACAUGCAUCCUAGCCUGCUCUAAGGUGAUAGAUGUUGAUUGGAUUGAUCCACUUCUCCUUAAUUCUCUAAUUAAAAUGAGAAUCAUGCAGAGGUUAUUUUCCAUCUUGAAAGUGGAGACCGGAAUAUUCCCACCCCACCUGACAGGAGGUUGCCUGCAGGUCAAAGAUGUGCCUCUUUAGUGCUAAAACAAAGGAAAGCAGCCAUGUACGUAGCUUAUAAGCAGAAUCCGCUUUUUACCACAUGGCCACCCAUCCACCCUAGCCCCAUGGCCACUGCCAAGGCUUCUCUUCGGAUGAUACCAGCCUAACUGGAUCAGACUCUGCUCUGACCCUUUGUCCUGGGUCCCCUCCCAGCCCUGAGCAAGCUCUCCACCUGCUCUGACAUUUGUCUCUUCUGAAGGAAUGCCAGUGGAAAUAACUGGCCAGAGCCGUAUCUGCAUGCAGCAGUGUGAAUGUGUGCAUGAGGCAGGUGGCCAUAUAUCCUGGACAGUGACCUGUCCUGGCUGAAUCUGACAUACCUGGCUUGCGUCAGCUGGGAAUGGGGUGCCCGCUGGGUGCUUGGACUGGGAGACAGGAAGCAAUUGAGAUGGACGCCUCGUGUAGCAUUCUGCAUCAGACAGCUGCUGCAUGGUGGGAAUAGAAAGGUUGAAGAGGCUUUUCCUGCUGUUUUAAAAUAGAUAUAAAUAAAUGUUGUGCUGUUCCAUUCUUAGCCAUAGCUCACCACUGGGACUGGCUGUCCAAAACCUGUUCUAUUGUGAAGACAUGUGGCAAAAAUACGAGUUAGACAUACUCAUUUUCAAGCACACAUUAUAUACGUUCAGAAUCCUCAAUAGGAUUUCCAUCUGACUCAGGACACUUGGCUUAAAUGUAAUUCACCCUGCAGUCUGAGUAGUGUCAUUUUGUAAAAAGGAUUAUAUGCUAUAAAUAACUGUCCCUCAAACCUAGAAGUGGGAUGGCUCAUGAAUAACACAUGAGCUGUGUACUGCGGC
rnacentral:lncRNA from 1 species